GUCGUUGCUAUCGCUUGGCGAGGUGAGGAAACAGCGCUCGCUGACAUUGUGUUAACAUCUCAUACAAUCUGUGGUAAUCUAAGACAUUGUCGCACCAUCCAUCGACAGCUCUAACAGUAUUUGUUUAUUUACAGAACCAUCUUCUCAUCAUGAGAGCGAAGGUAAGUACCUUUUUGAUAUACAUGUUAAAUAGUUUAUCGUUCUCUAGCUAGUCUUGAUAGCAUUUUGGUGGCUAAUGCGGUACUUAUUAUACUAAUUUAGUUGUUUGUUGUGAUUUAGCUGAAUAUUAAGUUUACUUUUAACUAUGUGAAGUAAAAUGCCUAACUGAGAGAUUUAAGUUGGUGUGUUUUUUUUUUUUUUUUGUAGUGUUGUAUACUCGGGCCUACUGUGCUAACGAUAGCCCGCUAGUUUUUUCGCAGGGAUAUUGUAACCACGUUGAGUUUGCAGUUGCUGCAAGUUAUUGUUUCUGGGUUUUUUUUUUUUUUUUUAUUGACUUAAACAUUAACACUUGAAAUAAUAGUACACCAUGUUACGUAUUUAUCGCUUUUUGGUUUCUUAAUACUAAUCCGUCUGAACGCCCAUGUUGCUUAGUGAAAAUAUAGCCAGUGGCGCUAGUAGCUAAUGCGCAUGUGUAGCUUUGAGUUGCAGUGUUUCUUUAAACUGCCUAAUUCCCUUUUAACAAUCAUUUUUAUUAAUUUUGCACUUUUCUUGCAGUGGCGAAAGAAGCGUAUGCGCAGGCUGAAGCGUAAAAGGAGAAAGAUGAGGCAGAGGUCUAAGUAAACUGGACCCUGUUCGCUGAAGCUGAGAGUGCUCCUCUACUUCAAUCUCCUCAGCAAGAGUCUGCUUUCUUCUGAAUGAGGAUUUGGUUUCCCAUCACCUGGUUCUGCAGAAGCAUCCUGGUCUUGAUGACCAUGUGAACUGUUUUGGACAUUCCUUAGACCUGUCAGCUCAGCAAGUUUGUUAAUGUCUUCAAUAAAUCUUUUGGUUUAAAAAU
ensembl:lncRNA